UGUCAAGGGAUGGGAAUCGAACUCACGACCUUCCGCUUACCGGGCAGAUGCCAUGACCACUAGGCUACCAUGGAC
rnacentral:tRNA from 1 species